rnacentral:tRNA from 1 species
GCCCGCAUAGCUCAGGUGGUAGAGCAUUUCCAUGGUAAGGAAAGGGUCGUCAGUUCAAUUCUGACUGCGGGCU